UAGAAAAAAAUCAAAAUCUACUAUCAUCGCCUCCUCUGGCCUCCUCAUCGCCGUCUUCAACUCCUAUCUGUUUGACAUUGUUGUAACUGGGGAUCUAGGUUUCGUACGCCAUCUCCUCGAGAAGAAUCCUCUGUUCGUGUUUGGCGAAGGAGAGUACGGCGUUACUGACAUAUUCUACGCCACUGCGAGAAGCAAAAACCACGACGGGUAUUCUGUCUGAUUUAUGAUUUCGCGGUUAGUCCGAGGUUCGACGACGCCGGCGGUUUUGAUCAGCAAAACGUGAUAUUCUGGCGGCUUACAAGAGGGAGAUGAUGAACAGAGCGGUUCACUCUGCUUGUAGAGAAGGGAAUCUUGUCAUUCUCAGAGAACUUCUGAGUGAUUGCUCUGUUGAAGAUGUCUUAACAUUCCAAGACAAACAGGGCUCCACCAUCCUCCACGCGGCCGCCCGAAAAGGAAAACUCUGGUAACUAACUCAAUUUUACUAAACUAAAGAGAGAGAGAUAUUUGGUCAUCUUUGGUUCUUUGUUUCUAUUGUUUGGGAAGACGUCUGCUUUGACGAUGAAUGUGGCUGGUGUGGUGUAAGAUUGUGUUUUGAUUGCCCUCUCGUGGUCUGUGAUUAAGGAUACGGUGACUCCGCUGAAUCUGUUUGGGUACGGGCUUGCGUUUUUGGGGGGUUGCGUACUACAAUCACUGCAAGUUGCAGGCGUUGAAGGCUAAGGAGGCUCAGAAGAAGGUUCAGGGAGGUGGUGGUGGUGAUGAGGAAGGUGCUGGGAAGCUUUUGGAAGUGAGGGAGAGUAGUGAAGGUGGUGGUAAACGUUAUGAUGCUGAAGACUGAUCUGAUGAGAGAGGAAAGGUUUGUGGAUCUGAUGGAUGUGUGAAAAGUUUCAGAGGAAUAAGAGCUGAAGGGGGGUGGUUGUUAGGAUGAUUCUGGUAGCUUUUGGAGAGGAGUUUUCUACAGGGUUUUUUUGCGCAUCUUCAGGUUCAGUACUUUUGCUUCAUCAUCUUUGUCUUAGGAGGCGAGUGUUUUAGUGGAUCCAAGGUAUACUUUAGCUGUUUGGGAGAGAGCAACAGAGGUUGUGCAGGAGGACGAUAAUUCGAGCAUUGUACUGAUGCUUCACACUGGAGGCACUCUUGGGAUAUUUGGUCUUGCUCAAAGAUACAAAUCUCUCUUUGAGCCAACUUGAAUGAUUAGGCUUUUUUGUAGCAUACCAUUCCCAAGAUUUGAAUAGACAUCAAUCUAAAGAUUCAGUUAAGCUUUAGCUUAGUAAUUAUUAAGUUUUACGUAUUAUGCUGUAUUUGACUUUUUUGCUUUGCCGAUUUUGAAAGAUUUUGUUCAUAUUUAGAAUAGCUAUCCCGAACAAAAAAAUGUCUUAAGAUUGUCUUGAUAAUUAUUUUUUGGAAAGCU